rnacentral:sRNA from 1 species
UUACAUACCGUAUCUCUGCAAAAGCAUU